AGGCUUGAACCCAGACGUGAUUAUGGCCUUGGCAUUGCUCUUGUGCGUCCCGUGAAACAUGGUGUAGCCUCGCCCCCUCUUCGGUGCCUGGCCCGGCUUCAGCCGCCGCUUUCCAUCGAACAGCGUUUCCCAGCCAUUGAACAGCGCGGACGACAGCGCCCAGCUCUGCGCGACGUGGAGGACGAGCAGAGAGGCCACGAGCCAGGGGCAGCUGUGCAGGAACAGGCUGAUGGCGGAGCACUCCAGCAUUUUACCUGCAAGCCUCGCUGUAAUCGUUUCCUGUGACCAUUUCAGAAGAGAUCGUGACCCGGAAGUCGCAGAACAACAGGAUCGGCUGGAGGAUUUGUAUCCAAAUGUCCACUCAACAUGAUUAUCUAAUUUAAAAAAAAGAAAGAUCCGCUGUGAUCCAAGACAAUCAACUUGCAUUUAGAGUUUGCCAAGUACCGUCACAUUGCAAGCCGAAGGGACAGUGAGGAAUUCCCUGUAUAUGUGGACGCCAAGGUCACUGAACAAAGACAGUGUUAUUUGACGCUUGGACGCUGGUCUAAUUUCUCUCCACUAUCCUGUCUCGUCAAUUGUAAAUAUUCUGAAGGAAAUGAAACUGACUGGAAGGGGAAGGUUUCCAUUGUUAUUUUUCUGACCAUGUUGUUCCUGGGUCUGUCCUUCAUUUACUUCACUUUUCUUUUUUUUUUUACUUGGGGCUUUUCUCAUUUUUUCAGGGGGGGAGAGGUGAGGUAAGCAGGGGAGAGGGUUUACAAUAAAACCCUGGAUGUUGUAUUAAUCCAGAAAGACCUCAGUUUUACUCCCUCAGCCCUGGAGAGUAUGACAUCAAAGACUCGCUUGAUAAUCCCCUCAACCCUCUGGAGGUAAACUAGGCCAGACUGUCGAUACCUUUACAGCUGUACGGGAAUGGGGCGGGGGGGGGGGGGGUGGCUGUUUCUAGCCCGACAGGGCCAGAGCGACAGUAGGAUUAGAACAAAGUAAUCCGCUCGCGCAGGAGAUAGCAAACCGCUAGGUGCUAGCGGUUCAGAGGAUAAACAAUGUAGUGUUUAUCAGCGGUUCAGAAGACAAACGUGCUGCGUGCGGUGAUGUGUUGGAAGCCUUCAUGUUUGAAAGCAGUGGAUGAGUGUCAUAUUGUGCGUUUGUUCUGUGUGAGUUCAUAUUGACUGCGUCAGUGUAGUUAAAUGAAAACAAGUGAACUUCAAAGAAGCAGAUAAUUUCGUGUUUUUUUUUGUUGUAAUGAUGCUGAACUUGCCCUUAAUGUUGAAAUGGCGAUUGAGUUCAAUCUCUUUUAUUAUUAUUUACCUGGUUAAAAUGUCAAAAUCUGCAUUCACGUGAGCUGUAACUAUGGUUUAAAAAAAUAAUAGUAAAAUAAAAAAACCU